GGUUAAGUUAGAAAGGGCGCACGGUGGAUGCCUUGACACUAGGAGUCGAUGAAGGACGGGACUAACGCCGAUAUGCUUCGGGGAGCUGUAAGUAAGCUUUGAUCCGAAGAUUUCCGAAUGGGGAAACCCACCAUACGUAAUGGUAUGGUAUCCUUAUCUGAAUACAUAGGGUAAGGAAGACAGACCCAGGGAACUGAAACAUCUAAGUACCUGGAGGAAGAGAAAGCAAAUGCGAUUUCCUGAGUAGCGGCGAGCGAAACGGAACAUAGCCCAAACCAAGAGGCUUGCCUCUUGGGGUUGUAGGACAUUCUAUACGGAGUUACAAAGGAACGAGGUAGACGAAGCGACCUGGAAAGGUCCGUCGUAGAGGGUAACAACCCCGUAGUCGAAACUUCGUUCUCUCUUGAAUGUAUCCUGAGUACGGCGGAACACGUGAAAUUCCGUCGGAAUCUGGGAGGACCAUCUCCCAAGGCUAAAUACUCCCUAGUGAUCGAUAGUGAACCAGUACCGUGAGGGAAAGGUGAAAAGCACCCCGGAAGGGGAGUGAAAGAGAUCCUGAAACCGUGUGCCUACAAAUAGUCAGAGCCCGUUAACGGGUGAUGGCGUGCCUUUUGUAGAAUGAACCGGCGAGUUACGAUCCCGUGCGAGGUUAAGCUGAAGAGGCGGAGCCGCAGCGAAAGCGAGUCUGAAUAGGGCGUUUAGUACGUGGUCGUAGACCCGAAACCAGGUGAUCUACCCAUGUCCAGGGUGAAGUUCAGGUAACACUGAAUGGAGGCCCGAACCCACGCACGUUGAAAAGUGCGGGGAUGAGGUGUGGGUAGCGGAGAAAUUCCAAUCGAACCUGGAGAUAGCUGGUUCUCCCCGAAAUAGCUUUAGGGCUAGCCUUAAGUGUAAGAGUCUUGGAGGUAGAGCACUGAUUGGACUAGGGGUCCUCAUCGGAUUACCGAAUUCAGUCAAACUCCGAAUGCCAAUGACUUAUCCUUAGGAGUCAGACUGCGAGUGAUAAGAUCCGUAGUCAAAAGGGAAACAGCCCAGACCGCCAGCUAAGGUCCCAAAGUGUGUAUUAAGUGGAAAAGGAUGUGGAGUUGCUUAGACAACUAGGAUGUUGGCUUAGAAGCAGCCACCAUUUAAAGAGUGCGUAAUAGCUCACUAGUCGAGUGACUCUGCGCCGAAAAUGUACCGGGGCUAAAUACACCACCGAAGCUGCGGAUUGAUACCGAAUGGUAUCAGUGGUAGGGGAGCGUUCUAAGGACAGUGAAGUCAGACCGGAAGGACUGGUGGAGUGCUUAGAAGUGAGAAUGCCGGUAUGAGUAGCGAAAGACGGGUGAGAAUCCCGUCCACCGAAUGCCUAAGGUUUCCUGAGGAAGGCUCGUCCGCUCAGGGUUAGUCAGGACCUAAGCCGAGGCCGACAGGCGUAGGCGAUGGACAACAGGUUGAUAUUCCUGUACCACCUCUUUAUCGUUUGAGCAAUGGAGGGACGCAGAAGGAUAGAAGAAGCGUGCGAUUGGUUGUGCACGUCCAAGCAGUUAGGCUGAUAAGUAGGCAAAUCCGCUUAUCGUGAAGGCUGAGCUGUGAUGGGGAAGCUCCUUAUGGAGCGAAGUCUUUGAUUCCCCGCUGCCAAGAAAAGCUUCUAGCGAGAUAAAAGGUGCCUGUACCGCAAACCGACACAGGUAGGCGAGGAGAGAAUCCUAAGGUGUGCGAGAGAACUCUGGUUAAGGAACUCGGCAAAAUGACCCCGUAACUUCGGGAGAAGGGGUGCUUUCUUAACGGAAAGCCGCAGUGAAUAGGCCCAAGCGACUGUUUAGCAAAAACACAGCUCUCUGCGAAGCCGUAAGGCGAAGUAUAGGGGGUGACACCUGCCCGGUGCUGGAAGGUUAAGGAGAGGGGUUAGCGUAAGCGAAGCUCUGAACUGAAGCCCCAGUAAACGGCGGCCGUAACUAUAACGGUCCUAAGGUAGCGAAAUUCCUUGUCGGGUAAGUUCCGACCCGCACGAAAGGUGUAACGAUUUGGGCACUGUCUCAACCAGAGACUCGGUGAAAUUAUAGUACCUGUGAAGAUGCAGGUUACCCGCGACAGGACGGAAAGACCCCGUGGAGCUUUACUGUAGCCUGAUAUUGAAUUUUGGUACAGUUUGUACAGGAUAGGCGGGAGCCUUUGAAACCGGAGCGCUAGCUUCGGUGGAGGCGCCGGUGGGAUACCGCCCUGACUGUAUUGAAAUUCUAACCUACGGGUCUUAUCGACCCGGGAGACAGUGUCAGGUGGGCAGUUUGACUGGGGCGGUCGCCUCCUAAAGUGUAACGGAGGCGCCCAAAGGUUCCCUCAGAAUGGUUGGAAAUCAUUCGUAGAGUGCAAAGGCAUAAGGGAGCUUGACUGCGAGACCUACAAGUCGAGCAGGGACGAAAGUCGGGCUUAGUGAUCCGGUGGUUCCGCAUGGAAGGGCCAUCGCUCAACGGAUAAAAGCUACCCCGGGGAUAACAGGCUUAUCUCCCCCAAGAGUCCACAUCGACGGGGAGGUUUGGCACCUCGAUGUCGGCUCAUCGCAUCCUGGGGCUGUAGUCGGUCCCAAGGGUUGGGCUGUUCGCCCAUUAAAGCGGUACGCGAGCUGGGUUCAGAACGUCGUGAGACAGUUCGGUCCCUAUCCGUCGUGGGCGUAGGAAAUUUGAGAGGAGCUGUCCUUAGUACGAGAGGACCGGGAUGGACGCACCGCUGGUGUACCAGUUGUUCUGCCAAGGGCAUAGCCGGGUAGCUAUGUGCGGAAGGGAUAAGUGCUGAAAGCAUCUAAGCAUGAAGCCCCCUCAAGAUGAGAUUUCCCAUAGCGUAAGCUAGUAAGAUCCCUGAAAGAUGAUCAGGUUGAUAGGUUCGAGGUGGAAGCAUGGUGACAUGUGGAGCUGACGAAUACUAAUAGAUCGAGGACUUAACCAU
rnacentral:rRNA from 1 species